GGCCUCAUCGCCCUGGGCGGUGUACAAAAGCGUAGGCGGCGUCCGUGCGUGGGUUCGAAUCCCACUGAGGCUA
rnacentral:tRNA from 1 species